rnacentral:rRNA from 1 species
UACAGAGGGCUCAAGCGUUGUUCGGAUUCAUUGGGCGUAAAGAGCGCGCAGGCGGUCGUUCAAGUCGCGUGUGAAAGCCCCCGGCUCAACUGGGGAGGGUCACGCGAUACUGAUCGACUCGAAGGCAGGAGAGGGUAGUGGAAUUCCCGGUGUAGUGGUGAAAUGCGUAGAUAUCGGGAGGAACACCAGUGGCGAAGGCGACUACCUGGCCUGUUUCUUGACGCUGAGGCGCGAAAGCUAGGGGAGCAAACGGG